CUCCGAUUCCGUGGGAAAAGGACUCCGUUUCCUAUCCAUAGUUGAACUCUGUUUCCUAGUUAAAAUGUUAAAUACAUUAAUGCCUUGGCUAUCUCGAUUAGUACUGGCGCCAUUAUCUCCAACAUGAGCCAGGAAGUGGGACUUCCUGGCUUAAUGCAUCAUUUUGGUCCGGAAGUCUAUGUAGAGUAUCCAACAAGACACGAGUUGGUAACCGACUGUAGAUGAGGGACCAAAAUAUCCAGUUUGCCCUCGAGCUAUGUCCUUAUAACAUUGGUGUCCUGGUUCUUUUGGCCAUUGCGCUUGCAAAUCGAGUCGGUUGGCUGGCAUUUUGUUGGGACGACGCUGGGGUGGGGUAAAUUUGGCUAUCUAGAUAUCUAGCGGAUAUAUGGGGGUCAGAUUUGGUGUGUUGUAACCCGUGUUACACCACUUUACUAGGCAGAUUACUAUGUGUUGGAUACCUUAAGCUGUUUUAUCUUCAGUCCUAACCUAAAGCCUGCAGCAGAUAUAUCAAUUUAAGAAGUAUAAUAGUCCGGUCGCUAGUAGUGAGAACUAUUUAAGAUAUCACUAAGGAGCCCGUCAAUGUCAGACAUUCCAUUCCAUCUCCCAUGAUCUGCAUGUAGGAGGUCAUCAAAUAGGUUCGGAUACUCUAAAGAUGCAUGUGGAGUAGAGGCAUAUGGUUGCGUAGUGGCUCGUACUCCUGCAGAGGUAUUUCCGGUGUUCUCUGCAGAUGUCUGUCGUUGGAUAUUACUACUUGGAGUUACUGGGAUUUGAUCGGAAUCUCGAGAGGACCGUUCCAAGUUCGUUGCUUGGAUAUCUUCAUGUCGCAAAGUCAUGUCACUGAAAGGCCCGCCGGUUGGUUUUUCAAUAAACGCUGGAUGGUAACAUUCGACAAUCGAGCAAUGCAAUCCCGUGCACUGAGAGCUUCAGCCCAGUGUUCUCCAAUGCUGCUUAAUAUAUUUUGUGCAAUGUUGAAUUUGAUAAUGAGCUGAUCGAUUGAGAAUUUCGAAGCUGUCCUUGGAAAUUUCCAGAUGCAGUGCAGCAUGACCAGAGUGCCUAAAAAGACCGAAUGUACUAUGAACCGGCUGUACAGCAGAUUCCCCUUCUCGUACAAGUCACCAAAACACUGAAGCAGUGCAAAUGCAUGAUCGGAGCAUAUAUCAAAUAUUUCAUCUGCUGGAUCUGGAAUUGCUGGACUAGGCCGUAAUAGUAGUAUCAUGAGCUCAUGAUACUUUGCGAUACAAUAUUCUUUCAUCCCACUGUCGCCAUCUUCUGUAUGCUGCAGCGCAUCGUAAUACCAGCCCUCAAGAGUUCUCAUCAUGUCUCGUUGCCACGUGAGGAUAUCCUUGACUGGCGGAUAUGCGUAAGAGGGAAUAUCCCGACGAAUACUGUGCAUAACGUAUUUAAUCUCGGAAUUGAGCUGUGCCAGUCUAAAUAGGCGAAUCGAGAGUGACAUGUGUGAGGGAUUUCCGUCAGAUGUGGAUUGGUUAGCGACGGUGUUAAUGAUAUCACAAUCUGAGAUAUCCAAAGGGAACUGGUAUUUAUUUAUGCUUCAUCUCU
rnacentral:lncRNA from 1 species